rnacentral:misc_RNA from 1 species
UGAAGAGGUUUCAGACGCUCGUGCCCC